rnacentral:rRNA from 1 species
UGGGGAAUAUUGGACAAUGGGCGAAAGCCUGAUCCAGCCAUGCCGCGUGUGUGAAGAAGGUCUUCGGAUUGUAAAGCACUUUAAGUUGGGAGGAAGGGCAGUAAGCGAAUACCUUGCUGUUUUGACGUUACCGACAGAAUAAGCACCGGCUAACUCUGUGCCAGCAGCCGCGGUAAUACAGAGGGUGCAAGCGUUAAUCGGAAUUACUGGGCGUAAAGCGCGCGUAGGUGGUUCGUUAAGUUGAAUGUGAAAGCCCCGGGCUCAACCUUGGAACUGCAUCCGUAACUGGCGAGCUAGAGUAGGGCAGAGGGUGGUGGAAUUUCCUGUGUAGCGGUGAAAUGCGUAGAUAUAGGAAGGAACACCAGUGGCGAAGGCGACCACCUGUGCUCAUACUGACACUGAGGUGCGAAAGCGUGGGGAGCAAACAGG